GAGUUCCCCGGGAAGGAGACUGAUUCUGAGAUCAGCGCACAGGGCUGUGAUUGGGAGGGGCAGUUGGGAUCAGGAUUGGGGAGCAGGAUUGGGCAGAAGGAGAAGCUGAGCAGAGAUGCACGAAGGCCUGACAAAGGGCUCCGCCAGCCCGACAUGCGGCUCUGGAGACAGAUGAGCCAUCAGAAUGGGCUCAGAUCAGACCUUUAUACCCGGUGCAGAGCAGCCCCUGGAUGAGGCUGCCCCUGGAAGGAGGUGUGGCCUUGGACAGGUCGUUUUCUUCUGCUGAGGCAGUCCUCAAAGAGGAUCUCUCAGGAGCCUGUGGACCCUGAGAAGAUGAAGAAGCCCUGUGUUGCACCUAUUUUGCUGAUAAGAUGAGUAAACCAAGGCUCAGAGAGGAGAAGAAAUUUGCUCAAAACCAUGCUGUACUGAGCUGGGAUGGGAAUCUGGCCCCAAAGCCCUCUCUGGACUCUGCCUUCUGUCGGGUUCCCUGAGCCACACCUGGUGUGGUCACAAUUGCAAAGAGGCCCGGGAGGGUCCUGGAGGUUCCCAGGACUGAAGCUGUCCCCUUUCAGCCUGGGCGCCCCUGUGUGGACUUGAUGGGGACCUCUUGUCUGACGGAGCCCGUGUGGUUCUCGUGCAAUGAUGGGAACCAGGGGCUGCGGAGGGAAGAGCAAAGGAGCACGCUGGUGUCCCUCGGACCCAAGUUCAGGCUCUGUCACUUCACGUGACUUCAAACAAGUGGCUCUACCUUUCUGAGGCUGUUUUCCCAGCUGUACAAUGGGCUCAUAACACCGACCUAUCUCUCAGGGUUACCAAGAGGGGAAGUAGAUGAAGGUACGUAAGGGCCCAUCCCACUCACCCCUGGCUCACUGUUGGUGCUCGGAAGCACUGGAGAACAGACUCCCUAGGCUCACCAGCUCUGCCUCUCACCAGCCAAGGACCCAUGGAGGAAUGCAUCUCCCAAGGCCGCAUUUCCACAUCUAUAAAAUGGGUUUGGGACUGUGCUUUCUUUGUUUGGCCUACAUCCCCUCUGUGACUCUACAUCGACAAAACUUAAACCUGGAAAACAGGCGUCUGAGAUUAGGCACAAAAUGAAAUCCAGGCUUGGCGGUGUGGCUCUGCCUGAGGUCUGCUUGCAAGCUGGUGUCCCGGGUUCUGCUGAAGGACCACGGCCCCUCCGCCCUCCCCGUUCUGAGUCAGCCCACGAGAUUCCCUGCUCCUUCAUCUUUCUCCUCGUGGCGGCUCUUAGAAAGGUUGCAGGGAGUGCACCACGCCGACCCGU
rnacentral:lncRNA from 1 species